rnacentral:pre_miRNA from 1 species
GGAUGCAUUACUGGGCUAAUCUUCUUUGGCAAAUAAUUUCACUAUUAUUUGGUGCAAAUUUGGUCAUUUAUUGCCAAAGAAGAUUUGCCCCGUAAAUCAUUC